AUGUUACGAUCCCUUUGCCGGGGUAACUUGUUAACAUUAACCUAUGAAAAUUGUAUAAAUACCACGCAAUACUGCUACAUGCUAUAAAUUAUUAGAAAAGACUAAACUUGGGUAUAACUUGACCUGUAUAUAAUAAAAUAUGUAUAUGUUAAUCUUAUAAAAUGGGCCCCAGAAUUCUGUAUGUGUAUAUUGUGUUCCUUCUGUGCCUUACAUGCCUGUAUUGUCGCGAUUUUUUACACUUUAAGAAAUUUGUGAUUUUAUAUUUUUUUGGUGAUUCGAAGGCCAGACCUUAGCGUUGAGAAUACACCCAAUGUACUAGCAUUUACACUGCUCUUAACUAAACAAACAAUACCUAAAAGUAAUAAUAGUAAAACAAACAUAAUUCUUUGCUAAAUAACCUCUAUUUUAACUACUUAUUAAUAAAUAUUUUUAAAAGUCUCUUUAAAAACAUAAACGUUUGUCUUUUAUGACACAAUGUACUAAACUACUUGACAAGACAUGAAAAUAUGUCUUAGUCGUGCUAUCUAUGAGAAAAUUCCUAACAUUUACAACACAUUUUUGCAUCUUAUCAAUUUUCAAUAGAAUUUGUUACUGACCAAUUUUCUAUUUCGUUAAUAUUGUGACACGUUCGCUAUAAAUACUGUUAAUUAAUUAAUUUCUUUACAUUUCUAUUGAGCUGACAAAAUGAAAUCCUUCAUUGUGUUUGUUAUUGUACAGGCUGUUGCACUGAGCGUAAAUGCACAGUGUCUUCGCUCAUGCGGACCUAACUUUGCUCCCGUGGCGGCGCCUAUUGCUGCUCCGCUGGUUGGCCCCUUAGCCGCUGCACUGGCAGGACCUUGCGUUAGCCCUGCCGUAGCCCCAACCCUCUCCGCUCUUACUGCUCUUGGGCCUAACGCGGUCGCAAACAGUCUUGCUGAUACCCUCUCUCUACUCACCGUUAGCAGCUUGCUUGCUGAGAAGUUACCUCUGGGGUACCCCGCGGUGGGACCAGUUGGAUGCGGUUGUGGUAAUCCAUUGGGCUACUCCUAUGUGGUUUAAGUAGUUUGAUUUUCAGAGUACGUCGUCCAAAAGUAAUUAUGUAAAAUCAAAUGCAUCUAAGCUUGAUGGCGAAGUUUUUAAAAUGUAAAAAAAAACACAAUUUUGGCAACAUUUAAAUUUGAGAUUUCCUUUCUAUAAUAUUUGUUUUUGUAUGAAAUUGUAUUUUUGUCUGUAGUACAUAAUAUUUUUUGAUUAGAACAAAUAUAUAUCGUUUAACAAA